GAUGAACGCUGGCGGCGUGCCUAAUACAUGCAAGUCGAGCGAACGGACGAGAAGCUUGCUUCUCUGAUGUUAGCGGCGGACGGGUGAGUAACACGUGGAUAACCUACCUAUAAGACUGGGAUAACUUCGGGAAACCGGAGCUAAUACCGGAUAAUAUUUUGAACCGCAUGGUUCAAAAGUGAAAGACGGUCUUGCUGUCACCUAUAGAUGGAUCCGCGCUGCAUUAGCUAGUUGGUAAGGUAACGGCUUACCAAGGCAACGAUGCAUAGCCGACCUGAGAGGGUGAUCGGCCACACUGGAACUGAGACACGGUCCAGACUCCUACGGGAGGCAGCAGUAGGGAAUCUUCCGCAAUGGGCGAAAGCCUGACGGAGCAACGCCGCGUGAGUGAUGAAGGUCUUCGGAUCGUAAAACUCUGUUAUUAGGGAAGAACAUAUGUGUAAGUAACUGUGUACAUCUUGACGGUACCUAAUCAGAAAGCCACGGCUAACUACGUG
rnacentral:rRNA from 1 species